ACUAACAGUGAGAAGCCUCAGCACAGAGUUGCACAGAGAGACUGCCUCUGCAUUUGUGACACUGACAGCACAGACACCAUAACUCCAGCCAUGACAGGCUCUGCACACAGGGACCCAGGAAGUGAAGGGCACUGCAGACCAUACCUCUGACUGUGACAGACCCCGAACAUCCACAGAGACAGUAACAUCAGCAUUGACAGGCUCAGCAAACAGAGAAAUAGGGAGGAAUGGGCUCUGUCGACAUCAUAACACCAACAGACACAGGGACAAGUACUGCAAACAGUGACACAAACAGUACUAGCCUCUCCCAAUAAUACCAAGCUCUGCAAAUAAAACUAAACUCCACAGAAUGACAAACAGUGCCACGGUCUACAAAUGGUGACACAGGCAAUGACAAGCUUUGCAAACAGCUCCAAGCUCUGCAAAUAAUGACACACAGGGCCAAGCUCUGCAAACACGUGUGAGGAGACAGAAGCACACAGAGGAGAAUUCACCUGCCAGGGCCAUAGAAAUCCUGCGCUGCUGUCCAGCACUGGGAUUCGUGUCUGCCCAACUCUCAGCAAACAGGCAUGAGGGCUGGAAGAGGAGAAAACACAACUGGCUAGGAGAAGGC
rnacentral:lncRNA from 10 species